GAUGAAGAACGUAGCGAAAUGCGAUACGUAAUGUGAAUUGCAGAAUUCAGUGAAUCAUCGAAUCUUUGAACGCAUAUUGCGCUCUUUGGUAUUCCGAAGAGCAUGCUUGUUUGAGUAUCAGUAAACACCUCAAAGCUUUUGGAUUUUUUAAUCGAGAAGCUUUGGACUUGAGCAAUCCCAACACCAAUCUUUUUGAGAUCGGUGGCGGGUUGCUUGAAAUGCAGGUGCAGCUGGACAUUCUCCUGAGCUAAAAGCAUAUUCAUUUAGUCCCGUCAAACGGAUUAUUACUUUUGCUGCAGCUAACAUAAAGGGAGUUUGACCGUAUUGGCUGACUGAUGCAGGAUUUCACAAGGGUCGGCAACGAUUCUUGUUAAACUCGAUCUCAAAUCAAGUAAGACUACCCGCUGAACUUAAGCAUAUCAAUAAGCGGAGGA
rnacentral:misc_RNA from 1 species